UGGGGAAUCUUGCGCAAUGGGGGAAACCCUGACGCAGCAACGCCGCGUGGGUGAUGAAGGUCUUCGGAUCGUAAAGCCCUGUCGGAGGGGAAGAUGCUUGAUUGUGCUAAUAGUACAGUCAGGUGACGGUACCCUCAAAGGAAGCACCGGCUAACUCUGUGCCAGCAGCCGCGGUAAUACAGAGGGUGCAAGCGUUGUUCGGAAUUAUUGGGCGUAAAGGGAGUGUAGGCGGUUGCCUAAGUCUUCUGUGAAAUCUACGGGCUUAGCCUGUAACGUGCAGAGGAAACUGGGCGACUUGAGUGUCGGAGAGGAUAGGGGAAUACCCGGUGUAGAGGUGAAAUUCGUAGAGAUCGGGUGGAACACCAGUGGCGAAGGCGCCUGUCUGGCUGACAACUGACGCUGAGACUCGAAAGCAUGGGGAGCAAACAG
rnacentral:rRNA from 1 species